rnacentral:misc_RNA from 1 species
AACGAACAGAAACUCUAUGAUUACACAAAGAAAGCCACGCUUCCAGUACAAGCUAGGUUUAAAAAAAAAAAUGGACUCCUAAAUCCUAAUAACCUGCUAUACUUACAGUAAUCAAGCCUAUAUUAAAAAGAGAUGAUAUAGAUAAUUAGUUAACUAAAGAUCAUGGUACAGGAUAAGACUUGUUUUUACACAUGCACUUAUAAGCCAUAGGACAAGUCUCAGCCUCUGCAAGUGAUGCACAGAAAAAGCUCACCCUUACGAGCCUACAUGGGCGGCAUGACCCACAUGCAUGGGAACAAUCAGGAAGUCUUGACCCUGCAAUCUGGACUGUGUCAGGUCCUCUUCUCUUUGUUGGCCUCAUUUCCCUGUAGAAACUUGGAUUUGCUACUACCACAUCUUGUGUCCUAGGCUGUGAAGAAUGGUGAUGCCCACGCUGUGUCCGUGGCCCGCCAAUGUGCCUUGAAGAUAUUACAGCAGGAAGAGAGAGAAGAGCAAUGACUAAUAGAGCAACACAAACAGAACCUUUCAUGGCUUUUGAUGAAAUUUUUAUGCUUCCGCUGUGUUUCUAUGUUUUCCUUUAGUUUAGCUAGAUAUGGCAAGUAUAUGAAGCAGAACACAGGUAAAAGGAAUAUAUA